rnacentral:lncRNA from 1 species
GAUAAAUUUAGCUCUACCCACAACCCAUUGCAGCCCUUCACUGCCCAUGGGCCCUGUCCCCAUGCUAUUCUCUGAAUAAAAGAGCACUACUACCAGACCUUGAGAGUCCAAGAAAUCUUUCUUUCAACUCCUCUGCUUCCCGAGCACACAUCAUUUUUUCUGGUGGCCCGCAUGGGGAUCUUGAUUCACCGGCUUGUGAGCUUAAGUUCUGUUCAUUAAAUGUAGAACUCCUUCAAAUGGAUUUCCUUUAUUCAUCCUCUCCCUGGAAAACCUCAGUAAAGUUCUCUUGGCAGUGAUUCUUCACAUCCUGAAUAUUCUUCUUGAAGUCUCUACCUGAAUGACCAUCCAUCACUGUUCAGCAUCAAAAAAGAGGGCAAUCCUACCAUUUACAACAACAUAGAUGGACCUGGAAGACAUGCUAAAUGAAGUAAAUCCAUCACAGAAAGACAAAUACCGCAUAAUUCCACUUAUAUGAGUUUAUCCAAAAUAGUUAAACUUAAUGGAGGCAGAAAAUAGAACGGCAAUUUCCAAGUGAUGGCGGGAGGGGGAGAUGAGGAGUUGCUGUUCAAUGAGUCCUGCACCAGAUUCUCUUUAACUGGCUUCUGGUCUUGGAUGCUCCACCUCAAUGAACACAUGCAAAUGAGAUAAACAGCAAUUUGUGGCCCACUUAUCAGUGGUCUAGAAUGCCCCAUCUUGGGGGAAGGCUCACAUGCAGUUUAGAAGGGUUCUGAUUGUGAAGGGGAAGAAUGUGAGUUGUACAGGCAAUCAUUUCUUUUAGAUCACCAGCUCUAGAUACUUCCUGAGCUCUAAUGGUCCAUUACUUCUUGGAUUGAUUCUGAUUGAAUCAAGAUAAUUAAUAAAACAUAUUAUCUAUAUUAUUUUAAUUGUUAUACUUCCAUCUAUUGCCGUUUGGAAGUGCUAUGGUCUGAAAUAAUGCUGAAGCUCCUACUCCAGAUAUCUGGUGUAAAUUGGCCUGAAUUCAUGUUAGUUUGCUCUCUGUGCCCACUUUACAUCCUGGGAGUUUCCAGACUGCCAUGACGAGUCUUAGAAUAAAGUGAAUUGGCUCUAACUUGCCUAAAAAUUAUAGUACAUUGAUUUAGGAAGGAAUUUAAGACCCUCCACUUCUUGGUUCAUCCUGCCCCUUUCCAGCCCUUAGUAUUAUUUUCCCUUUCAUGCUCCAGUCACAAAAGAAUUCUUGGAGUUUUUUUUCCCUGUAGAUUUAUGCAAGUCCUCAAUAAAUACUUAGUGAGUGAAUGAGUGAAUAUUUCUUGAAGGUAUUACUCAUUUUACGUUUCCUUGGCACUUCAGAUUAUUUUAUGCCUUUAGAGUUAAAUGCAUUCCUUUCACCUUAAGUCCAAACUAAAUGCAAUUUCAUCAUAAAGCUUUAUCACUUCCCCAAUAAAAAUGUUUUUCCACUUUUUAUAUGUCCAUAAAUAUAUACAAUAUAUAUGUAAAUAUAUAUGUAUUCUGCUUUUUUAUUAUUCUUCUCCAAAGAGUAAAAUGCACACUUGUUUCAUUUCCUUAUUCCUACAGGACCUAAUACAGUUGUUGGUCAAAAAAUGUUAUUUAAUAAAAUAGUUGUUAAAUUUAGUAUUAUUCAUAUAGUAUUUACUAUAUAUAUCUGUCAGCUUUGUUCCCUAACUAUUCUCAGUUGGAAGCCAUUAGAAAGUACAGAACUGUAUUUAUUGUAUAGAUUCAAACAUGCAAUAGACACAAAUUAAUUUUUCACUUACCACUCAUUCGAUUCCUAUCUACCAAUUAUCCAAUUUUAUUUUGGCCUUAAUGUUAUUGGAAAGUAUCCCUUCUCUGUAACUCAGAAUAUGAGAUUAUAUACCUGAAGUAUCUUAAGCCCUUCUGAACAAGGCCAAUGUAGAUAUUGAAGUACUAUUUUCUUCCAGAUAGUGUUUAGAAAAAAGUGUCUGUAUUUCACAUAAAAUAAACCAAUUUCUACUUACACAGAUUGAAGGAAUAGAUACUCUAGAAGAAGGGAAGUAAACUGACACCUUCAAAGCAUUCUUUCUAACAAAUCCAAUUCAUCAUUUGCACAACAUAGGUGAAAUAUUUUAUAUAAUGAGGUGAAGAUAUAUUUUAAGUCAGAUUUCUAAUGUUUUGGCAGCAUGCCUAUAUGAGAAGAAG